rnacentral:rRNA from 1 species
CCUGCUUUUGUGGGGUGCUCGAGUGGCGAACGGGUGAGUAACACGUGAGUAACCUGCCCUUGACUUUGGGAUAACUUCAGGAAACUGGGGCUAAUACCGGAUAGGAGCUCCUGCUGCAUGGUGGGGGUUGGAAAGUUUCGGCGGUUGGGGAUGGACUCGCGGCUUAUCAGCUUGUUGGUGGGGUAGUGGCUUACCAAGGCUUUGACGGGUAGCCGGCCUGAGAGGGUGACCGGCCACAUUGGGACUGAGAUACGGCCCAGACUCCUACGGGAGGCAGCAGUGGGGAAUAUUGCACAAUGGGCGGAAGCCUGAUGCAGCAACGCCGCGUGCGGGAUGACGGCCUUCGGGUUGUAAACCGCUUUCGCCUGUGACGAAGCGUGAGUGACGGUAAUGGGUAAAGAAGCACCGGCUAACUACGUGCCAGCAGCCGCGGUGAUACGUAGGGUGCGAGCGUUGUCCGGAUUUAUUGGGCGUAAAGGGCUCGUAGGUGGUUGAUCGCGUCGGAAGUGUAAUCUUGGGGCUUAACCCUGAGCGUGCUUUCGAUACGGGUUGACUUGAGGAAGGUAGGGGAGAAUGGAAUUCCUGGUGGAGCGGUGGAAUGCGCAGAUAUCAGGAGGAACACCAGUGGCGAAGGCGGUUCUCUGGGCCUUUCCUGACGCUGAGGAGCGAAAGCGUGGGGAGCGAACAGGCUUAGAUACCCUGGUAGUCCACGCUGUAAACGGUGGGUACUAGGUGUGGGGUCCAUUCCACGGGUUCCGUGCCGUAGCUAACGCUUUAAGUACCCCGCCUGGGGAGUACGGCCGCAAGGCUAAAACUCAAAUGAAUUGACGG